rnacentral:rRNA from 1 species
GACGAACGCUGGCGGCGUGCCUAAUACAUGCAAGUUGAGCGCUGAAGGUUGGUACUUGUACCGACUGGAUGAGCAGCGAACGGGUGAGUAACGCGUGGGGAAUCUGCCUUUGAGCGGGGGACAACAUUUGGAAACGAAUGCUAAUACCGCAUAAAAACUUUAAACACAAGUUUUAAGUUUGAAAGAUGCAAUUGCAUCACUCAAAGAUGAUCCCGCGUUGUAUUAGCUAGUUGGUGAGGUAAAGGCUCACCAAGGCGAUGAUACAUAGCCGGCCUGAGAGGGUGAUCGGCCACAUUGGGACGGAGACACGGCCCAAACUCCUACGGGAGGCAGCAGUAGGGAAUCUUCGGCAAUGGACGAAAGUCUGACCGAGCAACGCCGCGUGAGUGAAGAAGGUUUUCGGAUCGUAAAACUCUGUUGGUAGAGAAGAACGUUGGUGAGAGUGGAAAGCUCAUCAAGUGACGGUAACUACCCAGAAAGGGACGGCUAACUACGUG